UGGCACAUAACAUGCACGAGUUCAUGCAAAAUAACGUAAUUUACUCUGAGAUGUCGACAGAGUAACAUUAUCGAAAGAUUUUCCCACCCACCCACCUACACAUCCUCUGCUUACCUUCACUGUACUCCAUUUUUAAAAUUUAAAAAAAAGAAAAAAGAAAAAAGAAGUUAAAGUUUUAAUGUUUAUAAUAUUAGGGAAUGCAGUAAUAACAU